CUGCCUGGCGCGGGAGGCCAAGACCUUGGUGCGCGGGGCGCCUGCCAGGCGAAGACCCCACUCGGAAGCCGGACCAAGGGAGGUCAAGGCUCCUCGGCCUGGUCGGGGCGCCCACAGCUGCCACCCUUGGACCCCCAGCUAGGGUCUCCGUGGCCGAGAUGCCGCAGACGCCCAACCUGCCCCUAGCAGUGGACGUGCACCUCAGGACCUAGGAUGCGCCUUUCCUGGAGACUUGGAGCUUCCCCUUGGAGAUCUGGAGAUUGCACGGGGCUUUGUUUUUGCGUCCUUUGCUCGGCUUUGGCUUUGGGAUUCUCUGGCGACCUGAAUAUGCCCUUCCUUUGUGGGCUUCAGAUGCCAGCUCUGAAAAGCUCUUCAACACUGUAAUUGUGAACAAAGGUAAGGCUCCUUCAUUCUUCUGAGUGGUGGCUUUUUUAACGUGAAUCUCC
rnacentral:lncRNA from 1 species